ensembl:lncRNA
UAAGAUACAAGGUAUACUAAAUCUCAAAUUUGAUAGAUAUUGCCAAAUUUCUAUCCAAAAUGGCUUUACUAAUUUACAGUCCUAUCAUCAGAGUCCACAUGUUUUGUCAUUGCUUUAUCAUGUCAAACAUUUCAUGUUGUCCAACUUUUAAAAUUUUAGCCAAUCUGAUGGGUCUGAAACGACAUCUCCUAAUUUUUUUAUUUUGCAUUUCUUUGAAUAUUAGUGAAGUUAAGCAUCUUUCCAUUUCUUUUAGGAUUAUUUCCUGUUCAGAGUUUUCCAUGUUGAUAUAGUCUGAUCAUUUAUUUCUAUUUUUUUUUUCUCCUCAUGGAUGUGUAGAAUUUUCUUCCUCCUGUAUUCUGGGUACUAAUCCAGUUACAUAAAUUGUAAGUGUAUUUUCUGCAUCUGUGACUUGCUUUUAAUUUUGUUCAUUGCCCAGUUAUCCUUCUCUUGCAAGCCAUUGGCUACCUGCUUGUGCACACACUUGAUUUUUCAGAUCAUAGCAACUACAUGGUGAAAAUGGCUUGGAGGCGUGUUUUGAAAAACCUAGGUGAAUGAAUGCUCCUUGACUCUGAAUAUCUGUAGUAGGAUAUGGAAUGUGUUUUUACAAGAGAAUCAGUGAAGGACCUGUUUUGCUUACUCAAGGAUCUCAUUUGCUAACACAAUUGUGUGGUGAAAGCAAAAGAACCAGGUGUAAGUGGAAAAAACCUUAGUCAUUAAGGGUUGUUUGGACUGCUCAAUGGUGAAUAUCAGGGUGACUGGUUUCUCCCUGCCAUGAUGAAUCCUGGCAUGAUUUGCCUGGCUGUUUUGACAUUUUGUAGACCUAGCAUAUGUGGGAGGGCACUUGAAAGACGUCUCAUACUCAAGUGGUCUCUCCUCUUCCCAUACACACCUUAUGGAGUCUUCACAGGGUGUGAUGAUGGGAAGCCUAGACAUGCUCAUCAGAAGAUGUCAGGAGCAAUGGAGCACCAGUGGUGGAAGAACCUACCUCCCCUGGCUCCAUCAAAGGCCACAGGCCCAUGAGAAUCACCCAGCCUACUCUGCGCGGCACACUCGGAGACCACAGCCGCGCACAGGAAAGCGAGAGGAAGUGGAAACGUGCGAGCAGAGGGCUCAAAGCAACGGGCUCACCACCGGAAAAAAAAAAAUAAAAAUAAACAUGCUCAGAAAUAGUGUAACUGAUAUGCAAAGAAGAUCAAAACAAGGGUUUUAAAAUAUCUUGGCUGCUUUAGAGAAGGUGGGGGUGGUAAUUAAAGCGAGGUUGCAAAUGCGUGUUAGGGGAGUGGGGCGGUUAGGUGGAUGGUUCACUGAAGCCUGCCAGGCCAUGGGAGCCUGGGAGCCCAAGGGUAUUUCGGAUGAAAAUGUGGCACUUAUAUGUGGAAUGUAAAAAAUAGAUGAACUCAUAGAAGCAGAGAAUAAAAUGGUUAUUCUCAGAGGCUGCCAGGUGGUGGGACUGGGGAGAUGUUGGUCAAAGGAUACAACAUUUUAAUAAAUUCAAGAGAUUCAUUGCCCAUCGUGGUGACUAUAGUUAACAUCAAUAGAUUAUAUAUAUAUAUAUAUUUAAUUAUUUUGUUGGGCUUUUUGUUUAAGUUCCAGGGCACAUGUGCAGGAUUUUUACAUAAGUAAAUGUGUGCCAUGGUGGUUUGCUGCACCUAUCAACCCAUUACCUAGGUAUUAAGCCCAGCAUGUAUUAACUCCUUGAAAACUGCUAAGAGAGUAGAUUUUAAGUGUUCUUGUCACACAAAAAAAUAAGGUGCUACAUAUGUUAAUUAGCUUGAUUUAGCCAUUCCAUAAUUUAGAUAUAUAUCAAAACAUCAUCUUGUGUACCAUAAAUACAUAUAAUUUUGGUGAAUUAAAUAACAAAUAAAGAAAAAAAUAUGAGAGGAAUAAAUUACCAUGGGUAACUCAGAGGCAGAUAUGAACUUGACAGCAAGAACCCCAGAGUCCCACAACCCCAAACUCUGCCCUCCCCAACCUUUUACUAUUCCCUAAGAUUCUGCUCCAUUUGGAGUCCUGUACAUUUGUCCCAGGGCAGGGCUCAGACAGGCCAGCAGUGGAGGCACCAGGAAGUCCACCCAACUUGGCUGAACUUCAAGGCUCAAGUUCCAGUUUGGAACAAAUGUUCCAGGGUUAACGGCUGGGGCUAAGCAAACUCAGGAAAGACAAUCUCCCCAAUCUUGCGAAGUGAAAUUCUCUUUUCUUUCAGUGUGUUGUGAAGAACUACAGAAAUGUGCCCUCAUACAAAAAACAAACAAACAAACAAAAAAAAACCAAAGAAACCAAACAUUUUAUUUUGAAACUUGUUCCUGAAAUGGGAAACCAAAAGGUUAGUGAUGGCUGUGCUGGCUGUUUUUAGCCUCCCUCCACCAGUUUAACCAUCCCUAAUAAUAGUCCAAGGAUCACAGGACAUUUCCAGCACCAGAAGGCCAUCAGUCAACAGCAGAGGUGCAAAAGGGAGCAUUUGCUCUUCCACAGAUCCCAAUGGUCUCAUGUAUUUUAACAGAUGAAAUGCUCUGAAGGUGGGGUUGGGGGCGGCCUGGCCUUUGGAAAUUAGUCACCACUCAAAUAGGUCUAGCAUUUACACUUACAAAGCACUUUCACAGCUAUUAUCCAGUGAGAUGGGCUGGGCAGAGAAGAUCACCCACAUUUUCCAGAAAUCUAAGACUUCAAUGUGAAAUGGCUCAAGGUCAUUGCUAUUGAACCCAUAGCACUGGGUAUGUUAUUUACGGGGCCUUGAAGAACCACAGAUGGGAAUCAGGUGCCUUUGCUGUAAACUUGAGCCAUCCCUCUCGAUGUCUUCCUUUUCCUUCCCACUCUUCCUCCUCCUUCUAUGAUAGAGUACAAUUAAUAUUUUGAUGAUAAAAUAGAAAUUUUGUACCUUUGAUCCAAUAUUUUUUUCUUCUGUUUCUCUUAUUUGUCUAAUUAUGAGAAGGCAAGGCCUACCCUAAACUAUUUUUGAACCUGAUAUUUAAUAAAUAACCACCAACAGAUGCAUGUGAGCUGAGGUGGGAGACCCUUUUCUGAGCUGAGGUGGGAGAUGACAGGUAAAGGCUAGCCUUAAUUUCUGCCUGAUGCACAUUUGCUCUCUAGGCCCAGAGAGUAUUAUGGUUUACACAAGCUAUGGAAUUUAAGAAGAGAGAGCUCACUGUGUGCUGAGAGAAUCCAGAGAUAUUCUAGCAAUGGGUGCCAUUAUUGAAGAAGCACCUUGAGGAUGGAUCUGUGGGGUGGCAUGGGGAAGCAACACGAUAAGGUCCAGACCAAGUAUGGUGGCUCACACCUGUAAUUCCAGCACUUCAAGAGGCUGAGGCAGGUGGAUCACAAGGUCAGGAGUUCGAAAACAGCCCGGUCAAUAUGGUGAAAGCCCAUCUCUACUAAAAAUACAAAAAUUAGCUGGGCGUGGUGGCGUGUACCUUAGUCCCAGCUACUUGGGAGGCUGACGCAGAAGAAUCGCUUGAACCCAGGAGGCGGAGGUUGCAGUGAGCUGAGAUCACACCACUGCACUCCAACCUGAGUGACAGAGCAAGACUCCAUCUCAAAAAAAAAUAAAAAAUAAAAAAAAAUAAGGUCCAGAGGUUUAAAAAGUGCGUAAGACAUUGCUGGAAAUUCAUAAAGCUUCACCAGGCUAACAUGGCCGAAAUAAUGUUAGGGAGAUACUUUGGAGUCAUGCCUUGGAGGGCCUCAAAAGACAAGCAGAGUGAUUGGAAUUUCAUCCUAUGGGCAUUUAGGCAUUGCUGAGAGUUUGUGAAUGGGAAAGCAGUUGAAGAAGAAUGGUAUUCUAGAAAGCUCUUUUUAGCUGGAUAUGCAAGAUGGAAAAUAACGGGAGUAGCUGGCAGAAGAAAAAUGAUAAGGAGCACUGAACUUGCAGUCAAGAGGCUGACUAUAUUUCUCACCUUGAUUAGGUUAGUCCCAGAUAUAAGCAUAAACAUGUAUGAUUACCUCCUCUCUAAUAUGCAAACCUGUGUGGCCUACCCUUCAGGGAGGUCCUGAACAUCCCCUGAAUUGAGGGUGGUUAGAGUGCUUUGUAAACUCUGAAACUACAGAACAAACAUGGGAGAUAGUGAUGCAGCCUGUCAGAUUCAUUGAAAACAUGGGCAGGUUGGUACCUUGGGGAUGGGUGGUUGCAGGGAAGGUUGAGUGAAUGCCAACUCUCCAUUUAGGAAGCAUCUUCCCUCUGGAGGAGUAUCCCCUUUCCUUCCUGGAACCUUCUGUGUCACCUGGCACAGACUGGGGGCUAGUGGAAGAUGGAGGCAUGUCAAGCUGGUAGUCAAGAGUCAAAGACAAGAAAUCCCUGAGGUCUCUAGUAACUUCCUCAAGGGGAAUAAAAAAAAAUGACAAAGCUAGCCCUUUAACCCCGAGCUUGAAAUCAAAAUAAACAGUUGGGUUACUGUUUUGCAGAGUUGCUGAGUAAUUGUAAAGGGCAAGGAAGAGUCAGUUUUCACAAGAAGAUUGCUCAAUGGAAAGGUUUUGCCAGUGGAGGUGUCUGGGAAGGUGCAAGCAGAAGCCAGCUUAGUUAUUAUAGGGAGCUGCUCAUUGGAAGACAAGCCUUGGCCUCAUGGAGAAAAAGGGUUAACAUGAAACAGUGGGAAGCAAACUGCUGAACUGGGACUAGGUUAGGAGGGUUAAGAGAGAAGCAUCUGGGCUUUCAGCCACCCUUGGGCUUCUAGUAGAAGCAUUUCACAAUCUCCUUUCUUCACGGGUUAUGUCCUUAAAUUGAACAGCCAAUGGGGGCAUCUUGGGGUAGUGGAAAGUGUGUUGCAGGCCUGGCUUCAGCACUGCCUGGUGGUGUGACCCUUCCUUUCUGGGCCAGGGUUAGACUAGAUGGGAUGAUCCCUGGGGCUCCUUUCAGAUCUAGACCCCUAGGAGGUGUGGGGCAGGAACAGCCUGUUUUAUCAGAUUUAAAUUCAGAAAGGACAGCUACUGUAAAUGACCAGGCUUUAGUGCUGGCAGUGACAGCUACAUAAGGAAUUUCAAAUGAGGUCAUCUUAAAGCAAAAGCAACUGUGUGCCUGCUGACCAAGGCUUGUGGAUCAGAUGAAUCAGAAAGCUGGGACUCUUCUGAGUUCAUGCUUACCA